ensembl:misc_RNA Metazoa_SRP Metazoan signal recognition particle RNA
GCUGGGCGCGGUGGCUCACGCCUGUAAUCCCAGCACUUUGGGAGGCCGAGGCGGGUGGAUCACCUGAGGUCAGGGGUUCCAGACCAGCCUGGCCAACAUGGUGAAACCCCGUCUCUA